AUUUAUUUAAUAUAAAAAGUAUAACUGACUUCCAAUCAGUAAGUUUGAUAACAAAGUAAAUA
rnacentral:tRNA from 1 species